UACGUAGGGUGCGAGCGUUAAUCGGAAUUACUGGGCGUAAAGCGUGCGCAGGCGGUUUUGUAAGCCAGAUGUGAAAUCCCCGGGCUUAACCUGGGAAUGGCAUUUGGGACUGCAAGGCUUGAGUGCGGCAGAGGAGACUGGAAUUCCUGGUGUAGCAGUGAAAUGCGUAGAUAUCAGGAGGAACACCGAUGGCGAAGGCAGGUCUCUGGGCUGACACUGACGCUCAUGCACGAAAGCGUGGGAGCGAA
rnacentral:rRNA from 1 species